rnacentral:rRNA from 2 species
UGGCGGCGUGCCUAAUACAUGCAAGUCGAGCGGACAGAUGGGAGCUUGCUCCCUGAAGUCAGCGGCGGACGGGUGAGUAACACGUGGGCAACCUGCCUGUAAGACUGGGAUAACUCCGGGAAACCGGGGCUAAUACCGGAUAAUUCUUUCCCUCACAUGAGGGAAAGCUGAAAGAUGGUUUCGGCUAUCACUUACAGAUGGGCCCGCGGCGCAUUAGCUAGUUGGUGAGGUAACGGCUCACCAAGGCAACGAUGCGUAGCCGACCUGAGAGGGUGAUCGGCCACACUGGGACUGAGACACGGCCCAGACUCCUACGGGAGGCAGCAGUAGGGAAUCUUCCGCAAUGGACGAAAGUCUGACGGAGCAACGCCGCGUGAGUGAUGAAGGUUUUCGGAUCGUAAAACUCUGUUGUUAGGGAAGAACAAGUACCGGAGUAACUGCCGGUACCUUGACGGUACCUAACCAGAAAGCCACGGCUAACUACGUGCCAGCAGCCGGGUUCAAUUUA